rnacentral:rRNA from 1 species
CCUGGCUCAGGAUGAACGCUGGCGGCGUGCUUAACACAUGCAAGUCGAGCGAAGCACUUAUGAAAGAUUCUUCGGAUGAUUUCAUUGUGACUGAGCGGCGGACGGGUGAGUAACGCGUGGGUAACCUGCCUCAUACAGGGGGAUAACAGUUGGAAACGACUGCUAAUACCGCAUAAGCGCACAGUACCGCAUGGUACAGUGUGAAAAACUCCGGUGGUAUGAGAUGGACCCGCGUCUGAUUAGCUAGUUGGUGGGGUAACGGCCUACCAAGGCGACGAUCAGUAGCCGACCUGAGAGGGUGACCGGCCACAUUGGGACUGAGACACGGCCCAAAACUCCUACGGGAGGCAGCAGUGGGGAAUAUUGCACAAUGGGGGAAACCCUGAUGCAGCAACGCCGCGUGAGUGAAGAAGUAUUUCGGUAUGUAAAGCUCUAUCAGCAGGGAAGAAAAUGACGGUACCUGACUAAGAAGCCCCGGCUAACUACGUG